GUCCUAGCUGUAAACGAUGGGCACUGGGCAGGGGGGAUACCUAUGUCUUCUCUGCCGGAGCUAAUGUGUUAAGUGCCCCGCCUGGGGAGUACGCUCGCAAGGGUAAAACUCAAAUAAAUUGACGGGGGCUCACACAAGCGGUGGAGCAUGUGGUUCAAUUCGAAGCAACGCGAAGAACCUUACCUGGCCUUUACAUGCACGGAUUAGUCCCGUGAAAGCGGGAUGACAGCUCUUCGGAGUCGGAACGUGCACAGGUGUUGCAUGGCUGUCGU
rnacentral:rRNA from 1 species